rnacentral:rRNA from 1 species
GGAGGAAUAUUGGUCAAUGGACGAAAGUCUGAACCAGCCAUGCCGCGUGAAGGAAUAAGGCCCUAUGGGUCGUAAACUUCUUUUGUAUGUGAGCAAUAAGGUCCACGUGUGGACCGAUGAGAGUAGCAUACGAAUAAGCAUCGGCUAACUCCGUGCCAGCAGCCGCGGUAAUACGGAGGAUGCGAGCGUUAUCCGGAUUUAUUGGGUUUAAAGGGUGCGUAGGCGGUUUGUCAAGUCAGCGGUCAAACUGCGGGGCUUAACCUCGUAUUGCCGUUGAAACUGGCUGACUAGCGUGGCGUCGAGGUGUGCGGAAUGCGUUGUGUAGCGGUGAAAUGCAUAGAUAUGACGCAGAACUCCGAUUGCGAAGGCAGCACGCCGGGCG